rnacentral:rRNA from 1 species
AUGACCGAGGAGGACGUCGCGGCGGCGGCCGUGUACAGAGCCAAAGGCGAGGAGGCGCACAGGAACCAGGACCGGAAGGGGGAGCUGGACGCCGUCAUCAAGUGGAUCGCCACGGGAGACCCCAAGGCAAUCGAGGUCUCGAACCAGUGGGUCGAGGAAAACAUGGAGGCCAUGAAGCUGCAGGCGCUCGACCCCACCGACUAUUGGGAGGCCGUCGAUGCCAGGAGGCACCGGGAAUCCGGCGAAUCUCUGCGGGUCGACUCCUUCGGUCCCUCACCCACCCAGCCCAUGUGUUGCACGGACGACAAGCCUCCGCGUGGACGCGGUACAGCCUACCCGGUGCGUACUCUGCAGGUCUUUUCGGUCAGGGUUGGAGCCAUCACAGGUGGAUUGGACUGGCCUCUCGAUGUGUAUGGUAUCAUUGCCGCACGCGACUCAUUUGAUCAGAAUCGCAACAUCAUCUUCAACCGCUCCAGGGAUAACUGCCAAACCAUUGACACGAGGAAUCCAUGUCUGAGACUGACAGGUCCUACCCGCGCUGUUGUUGUUGUGGAUCCUGCGUCCUUUAAGGUUAACUUGCGAGUUAAGGGCAGAACUGAAUCAGAGGAUAGAGAAUUGAGUAAUCUAGUUUUUCAUUAUCAUGAUUCUGGUUCUAGUGAAUCAUAUGCGAUUAAACGUGUCAGCACCAGCAAGCUUAGCACAGUGGCAUUGAUGCUGGGUGAUAUUGUUAAUUCAGUGGAGGCCACCAUCAGUGUGAGAGUUGUUGGUGGAGAAUGGCCAGAAGGUUUUCAAGGUCUAAUUUCUGCCAAUACGGCCAGUAUUGAUGCCAAGAAAAUUGAGUUGCUUGCGUUCGGAGAUAAGUUGCCUCUUGCAGCUGAUGGCAUCAUACAGCUUUCACAAAAUGUUGUAUCUGUUGAAGCUAAUGGAGAGUUGAUAGUCUCCGUCAUGGCAAGUAGCUUGGAGGAUCAAACUGUUGAGAGAGAUUCAGAAGCAUUCAGAGCCAAGAAAGCCUCCAGGAGCAUGCGUAUGCUUGAAGUUCGCCGUUGUAAGUUUGAAGUCACCGUCGCAUGGUCUCUUGUCCAGAACCUACCUCAUUUCCACAAACUUACAAAUGAUGUCUGA